GUCCACGCCGUAAACGAUGGGCACUAGGUGUCGCGGGUAUUGACCCCUGCGGUGCCGAAGCUAACGCAUUAAGUGCCCCGCCUGGGGAGUACGGUCGCAAGACUAAAACUCAAAGGAAUUGACGGGGGCCCGCACAAGCGGUGGAGCAUGUGGUUUAAUUCGACGCAACGCGAAGAACCUUACCUGGGCUUGACAUCCCGAUCGUACCUGCUGGAAACAGCGGGGUCAGUUCGGCUGGAUCGGAGACAGGUGCUGCAUGGCUGUCGU
rnacentral:rRNA from 1 species